UACGUAGGGUGCAAGCGUUGUCCGGAAUUAUUGGGCGUAAAGAGCUCGUAGGCGGUUUGUCGCGUCUGCUGUGAAAACUCGGGGCUCAACUCCGAGCUUGCAGUGGGUACGGGCAGACUAGAGUGCGGUAGGGGAGACUGGAAUUCCUGGUGUAGCGGUGGAAUGCGCAGAUAUCAGGAGGAACACCAGUGGCGAAAGCGGCUUCCUGGUCCAGCACCGACGUUCAGGCACGAAAGCGUGGGGAGCAAACAGG
rnacentral:rRNA from 1 species